CGGACGUGGAAACGUUUCUGAGAAACAGACAUGGAAAUGUUGUCAUGUGAGCUUCUGAGAAAUAACUGAAUACUGAUGAUCUUUCUUUUGAAAUGACAGUCACAGAAGGAGCCGGAGCUGAGACCUGUCCUGGCCUGAACCAGAUCCGCAGCAGGUGGAAUUUUCCACGAGCCACUUCCCUGCCUUGGCUGUGGAAUGCAGACAAGACGGAGCAGGCCUGUGGAGCCGCGGUGUCUUGGCGGUGGAGCUUGUUGAGCUGGUGCACGUUGUGUCCAACGCCUUCUCUCUGCCUUCGGGGGCUUUGGUAAGCCGUUCCCCACAGCGCAGCUCUGCCCUGUUGUGUUGCUGUUUGCCGCUGAAUGUGUAACCAAGGACCUGCAGCAGGCGAGUGCAGGGCCUCGGCGCCGCCCCUGAUUCUGUCCACUUCCGUGCCAUUAUCUUCCAUUUUGCAUUGGUGAAUUUGAUGUUUGUGUGUUUUUUUUUUUUUUUGCCGCUCACACAAAAGGCCCAAAAAGCAGCGGGAUGCUUUUAACGCGGCGCUAAAUCCAAAGACAUUCACGACCGUUCUGAGGAAACAGACGGAGAUUGCUAUCUGAGCAACGGACCUUGUAAAGUUAUACAACGUGGGCAUGUGCGGACACAACAGCCGCACAUGUUUCAUCCGGCUGGUACCACACUUCCCGCGGGCGGAGGAUGUGCACAAGAACAAUGCGCGGGGAAACGCCGUCUCUUGGCGGUCCGAACUCCACCCGCUGUGUUUACGCGGUGCUCCAAUGCACCACCCCGCACUACACUAUUAAUGGCAUUUGUGCAAGAUGACAAAUCGCCGUCGGCCCGCGAUGGAAAACGGCGUUACUCGCGCAAACCUUGUGAAAAAAAUGGAGCCUCCUUGUGCUAUUUCAGAAUAAGUGGUGUCACUCCACCCACUUAAAGCCGAAUAAUAGAUCUGAUGGAUGCUCUGUGCGACGCACGGCCGCCGUCGGAGUAAUUACAAAAGGCACGAGAGGAGCACCCACGCAGCCGCACCGGGCGUUUGUUCCAGUUGGGAGAAUCACAGCAGCGCACUCGACCUGCAGGCUGUGACGCUUGUUUGCUUUCCGACGUCUUCAAUGGAUCUCGUUUCGUUCGUGGAUGCUCCAUUGUUGCUGAUGUCGGCCUGGCAACUGUUUGCUUUGGAUUUGACCUUUGGGGGUCGUGUCUGUGAGAGGACAUUUUGCGGUGUGUGUUUGUGGAAAUGGGGCAGGAGAGAGUGCCACCUGUUGAUUUGUUACGGUGCUGCACUAAAGGGGGGCAACAAGCCAGCGCAGUUGUGAUGCGAGGCAGUUUGCUAAAUAGGUCUGUUAGCUGAAAAUAUUAGUACUAAUAAGUAUUUUUUUUAUUAAUGCAGGUAAACUUAAGGUCAAUAUGGUGAACUGAACACUCAUAUCUGGUGUUUCAAACACAUUUUCACAUAUGAGAAUAUUCUGCGGGAGCCUAAAAUUAACUUGAAUAAUAAUUUUAAUAGCAGAGGCUGGAAGAUGAUUUAAUCAUGCAGGAACAAUUAUUGAUGUAUUCAGAGUUGCAAAAAAGUAAUAACAUUUAAAAAGCAAAUGCCGUCUCCUACAAAAGCACAUUACCAGCAAAGCCUAAGUGCUCUUAAUUGCAUUUUGACAGAAAUCUUUUUUUUCCUACAGUAUAUUACCGUCGCAGAUGGCUACCACUUAAAAUCAAAUGUAAACCAACUAAAUACGUUUCCCUCAAAUGUCAUUGAAUGAAUAAAACGCGUAUUUUCAUAAUAAAUAAAUCUUCCUAAUAAGGCCAU
ensembl:lncRNA